rnacentral:rRNA from 1 species
CCUACGGGUGGCAGCAGUGAGGAAUAUUGGUCAAUGGGCGCGAGCCUGAACCAGCCAAGUAGCGUGAAGGAUGACUGCCCUACGGGUUGUAAACUUCUUUUAUAAAGGAAUAAAGUGAGGCACGUGUGACUUUUUGUAUGUACUUUAUGAAUAAGGAUCGGCUAACUCCGUGCCAGCAGCCGCGGUAAUACGGAGGAUCCGAGCGUUAUCCGGAUGUAUUGGGUUUAAAGGGAGCGUAGAUGGGUUGUUAAGUCAGUUGUGAAAGUUUGCGGCUCAACCGUAAAAUUGCAAUUGAUACUGGCAGGCUUGAGUACAGUUGAGGUAGGCGGAAUUCGUGGUGUAGCGGUGAAAUGCGUAGAUACCACGAAGAACUCCGAUUGCGAAGGCAGCUUACUAAACUGCGACUGACAUUGAUGCGCGAAAGUGUGGGUAUCAAACAGGAUUAGAUACCCGAGUAGUC